rnacentral:rRNA from 1 species
GACGAACGCUGGCGGCGUGCUUAACACAUGCAAGUCGAACGGAAAGGCCCCUUUGGGGGUACUCGAGUGGCGAACGGGUGCGUAACACGUGAGUAACCUGCCCUUGACUUCGGGAUAACUUCAGGAAACUGGGGCUAAUACCGGAUAGGAAUCCUUGCUGCAUGGUGGGGGUUGGAAAGCUUCGGCGGUUUUGGAUGGACUCGCGGCUUAUCAGCUUGUUGGUGGGGUAGUGGCUUACCAAGGCUUUGACGGGUAGCCGGACUGUGAGGGCGACCGGCCACACUGGGACUGACAGACGGCCCAGACUCCGACGGGAGGCAGCAGUGGGGAAGAUUGCACAAUGGGCGGAAGGCUGAUGCAGAAACGCCGCGUGCGGUAUGACGGCCUUCGGGUUGUAAAACGCUUUCAGCAGGGGCGAAGCUUGUGGUGACGGUACCUGCAGAAGAAGCACCGGCUAACUACGUG